GGGGGUAUGGGGUAACCUGGGAUCCUAACGGGCUCCAGACCCGUCGAUGGGGGUUCAAAUCCCUCUGCCCCCA
rnacentral:tRNA from 1 species